GAUGAACGCUGGCGGCGUGCCUAAUACAUGCAAGUCGAGCGAACAGACGAGGAGCUUGCUCCUCUGACGUUAGCGGCGGACGGGUGAGUAACACGUGGAAACCUACCUAUAAGACUGGGAUAACUUCGGGAAACCGGAGCUAAUACCGGAUAAUAUAUUGAACCGCAUGGUUCAAUAGUGAAAGACGGUUUUGCUGUCACUUAUAGAUGGAUCCGCGCCGCAUUAGCUAGUUGGUAAGGUAACGGCUUACCAAGGCAACGAUGCGUAGCCGACCUGAGAGGGUGAUCGGCCACACUGGAACUGAGACACGGUCCAGACUCCUACGGGAGGCAGCAGUAGGGAAUCUUCCGCAAAGGGCGAAAGCCUGACGGAGCAACGCCGCGUGAGUGAUGAAGGUCUUCGGAUCGUAAAACUCUGUUAUUAGGGAAGAACAAAUGUGUAAGUAACUAUGCACGUCUUGACGGUACCUAAUCAGAAAGCCACGGCUAACUACGUG
rnacentral:rRNA from 1 species